UCCGGAGCGACCAGGAAUCUGAAUGAAUCUGUAUGAAAAUCCCGGACUGACGAACAGAAACGCAUAUGAGGCAGCCACAUCUGGGCUAGAGUGCCAUAAAAUUCAAGGCCCGAUAAUCAUCCAGAAGGUGUGGAGUAGAUGCUGCGGGUAUGCCGUCAAAUAGUUUUA
rfam:Nitrospirae bacterium GWC2_56_14 gwc2_scaffold_3629, whole genome shotgun sequence.